AGGACAAUGUGACUGUAGAACAAAUACGCAAGUCUGAGCAUCUAAGGAAGCCACCUGCUAAGUUUACAUACCCAUAUCUUGGCCAACCCUUGAUCUCAUUUGCACAGACCAUCCUUGACAGCUUUAACAAAGCUUUAGUUGAAACAUUUGAAGGAGCCUCUUCCUUUGAAAGUAGAACAUGAAGGGACUCAUGUUAAUUCAGAGGGGGAGGGUGUAACCCACCAGUUAGGGUUAAAGUACUAUUUUUGUUUUCUUCUACAUACUUUUAUUGAUAAUGGGUUUUAUUUUGAAAACCGGAAGUUUAUUUUGAUAUACCGGAAGUGCAAUGCUUAGAAAAGCACAUCUAGCUUAACCUCGUUAAUUGACUCACAGAGCCCUGCUCUUUCACCCACGUGUGAUGAGAAAAGAGAGGAAAAGAGCGUGGAUGAGCACAGAAGGAGCGAAGUUAGUGGGU